rnacentral:misc_RNA from 1 species
AUGCAACGCUGGAAUCAAAUAUUCAUAGCCUCACACAAAUCAAUAUUCAUAUUGCUUGGGAUGUUCGGAAAUAUUCACCUGAUAUACAUAAUUCUGACGACUUCCAGUUUCAGAAGUAAAGCAUCAUAUCUACAAUGCAUUCAAAGCUUUGCUCAAGUGUUUUGUAUUUUGAACAGCUGUAUAGAUGUUUAUCUAAUGCUAACCGAUAGUGUUAUCCUACGUCAAACUUGUUUCAAUAUAACAUUCUCAACUGUUUUUUGUUAUUGUGUUCAGUCAACAAUUAUGUUUUUCAUUUUAUUGGAUAUUCUGAUAUUAGUAGUAUUCCCAGUGGCCCAUAGAAAUACUGGAACCUUGAAAUAUGUGCUGAUUAUGUCAACUAUACCGUUUAUCUGGGGCGCUGCUGUAGUGACAAUCGGGUACCAGGCUGAGGAAAAUCCAACUUUACAUUUAUGCAAUUAUUUUAUAGCUCUACAGCGCCCUCUUCGAAGAGUUUUAGCAAGUGCGACAGUUAUUUCAAAUACAUUCAGUCUGGUCGUUUUUGUGAUUUUGAUCUCAAUUUUUUGGAAAAAAGCGUUUUUGUCAUCAACGCAUUUAUACUUUAUGGUUAUGCCGGUGACGAAUUAAAUGGAGUCAUUGGAAACAUCUCAAUUUUCUCGAUGAUAUCAUUCACUCAUACAUUCUAUACAAUAAUAUGGCGAUCAAAAGAUUAUCGAAAACGAUUUUUUCGAAUGUACUGUACAGCCUACGGACCUUCUGUUACAAUGGUGGUUCCAACCGCUCUCAAGAAUACACCGCCAAGUGAUAAUUGA